AAGAACAUCCUGAACUGUGGCUUCUGUCCUCCAUCUUCAAGGACUUCAACACUGCAGCUCUCUGACUAUUCUUGAAUACUUACAAUCCCUUCUCAUUCUCGUUUGCUGCCUCCCUCUUCUAAUUUUAAGGACUCUGAUUAUAUUGGCCUACCUGAUAAUCCUGGACUAUCUAUCUAUUUGAAGAGAUCACAGUCAACGACCAGUCAUUCUGGACAACCAGCCCAAUCAAGGCUCUAAUUUUCUGCAGGUUUGGCUAACAUCAGUUUGCAAGUACAGGUUCCUCAAUAUAUUUCAGAACCAGGCUUUUUUUAGUAGACUGGGACACAUCAGAAGAAUUCAUGAAUUACAGGAGAAUAUUGUAAGACGGAGACAUUCUUACUUUCAUUAAAGAGAAUGUGUGCAUGAUUUGGAAAAUGGUACACAUAGAGAAUAUUGAAUGGAAUCUUUCAAGCACAUAGGCAAACAACUAUGGAAUUUAAAUAAAAAGUUGUAAUCAUCAAAUGAUUCUUGGAACAAUUUACUAAUUGGGUCAAAAAUGUAUUUAGAGAAUUCAGAUUUUAAAAAAAAAUCAUCACCUUGGGAAGUGCCA